UGCAGUCGAGGGGUAGUAUAGCAAUAUAUGAGACCGGCGCACGGGUGCGUAACGCGUAUGCAACCUACCUUUUACAGGGGGAUAGCCCAGAGAAAUUUGGAUUAAUACCCCAUGGUAUAUUUGAGUGGCAUCACUUGAUUAUUAAAGUUCCAACGGUAAAAGAUGGGCAUGCGUCCUAUUAGCUAGAUGGUAAGGUAACGGCUUACCAUGGCUACGAUAGGUAGGGGUCCUGAGAGGGAGAUCCCCCACACUGGUACUGAGACACGGACCAGACUCCUACGGGAGGCAGCAGUGAGGAAUAUUGGACAAUGGGCGCAAGCCUGAUCCAGCCAUGCCGCGUGCAGGAAGACGGUCCUAUGGAUUGUAAACUGCUUUUGUACGGGAAGAAACACUCCUACGUGUAGGGGCUUGACGGUACCGUAAGAAUAAGGAUCGGCUAACUCCGUGCCAGCAGCCGCGGUAAUACGGAGGAUCCAAGCGUUAUCCGGAAUCAUUGGGUUUAAAGGGUCCGUAGGCGGUUUGGUAAGUCAGUGGUGAAAGCCCAUCGCUCAACGAUGGAACGGCCAUUGAUACUGCCAGACUUGAAUUACUGGGAAGUAACUAGAAUAUGUAGUGUAGCGGUGAAAUGCUUAGAUAUUACAUGGAAUACCAAUUGCGAAGGCAGGUUACUACCAGUGGAUUGACGCUGAUGGACGAAAGCGUGGGGAGCGAACAGGAUUAGAUACCCUGGUAGUCCACGCCGUANACGAUGGAUACUAGCUGUUCGGGGCAACCUGAGUGGCUAAGCGAAAGUGAUAAGUAUCCCACCUGGGGAGUACGUUCGCAAGAAUGAAACU
rnacentral:rRNA from 1 species